UUUGGCCUUUUUUUUUCUCUCUUCUUUUUGGUUCUUAGUUCUUACUUUAUUAACAGUCGUUUCUGUGAUCAUCGUCGUUUCUAAGUUUGGUGUUUGUAGUGCAGGAUCAUCAAUGGAGGACGAAAAGGAUCCCUUUUAUGUUGUUAGGAAGGGAGACAUCGUUGGCGUAUACAAAAGCUUAAGGGAUUGCCAACUUCAAGUUGGACUUUCUGUGUGCAAUCCUUCUGUAACUGUGUUUAAGGGUUAUGGUUUACCUAAGGAGGCUGAGGAGUACCUUGCUUCACAUGGUCUUCAGAGUUCAAUGUAUGCGGUUGGUGCCAGAGAUGUUAAAGAUGAUCUUUUUGGGAAACUUGUUCUUUGCCCAUUUCAGGAACCAGAAUCUUUUAGUGGGAAUACAUCUAAUGAGGUUUCUCCUCCAAAGAGGAUGCGCAUGGAGACAGUUGGAUUAAUUACAGUUUCCACAACUCCAAAAAAGCACUUGAACUUGGAUGAUCAUGUUGGAAAUCAAGCAAAUUCUUCUAAUUGUUGCUCCUGUGUUCUUAAGUUUGAUGGUGCCUCGAAGGGAAAUCCUGGACUGGCUGGUGCAGGAGCAGUUUUGCUUGCUGAAGAUGGCAGUAUGGUCUGCCGACUUCGAGAAGGGGUUGGCAUUGCAACCAAUAAUGUUGCUGAAUAUCGAGCUGUACUUUUAGGAUUGAAACAUGCUCUUAAGAAAGGGUUCACACACAUUCGUGUCCAGGGGGACUCUAAGCUUGUUUGUAUGCAGAUUCAGGGACUAUGGAAAGUCAAUAAUCCGAAUUUGGCUGGCUUGUGUAAAGAGGCAAAGGAGCUCAAGGUUAAGUUUCAGUCAUUUCAGAUCAGUCAUGUUCCGAGGGAAUUCAAUUCUGAAGCUGAUGCUCAAGCUAACCUGGGUAUACACCUCAAAGCCAAAUACAAUCCAAAGAUCACAACAAACACACAAAACAGAAGAGAAAGCGCUAUAUGAUUCUGAUUUUAUUUCUCUCUGAGUUAACACAGCAAAUGAAAGCAAAAGUAGAUAAUUCUGGCAUUUCAAGGAGCCAAAUACCUCCUCUUCAGCCAAAGCUGCCCAGAAAAGCCCAAAACAGUAUCCUUCCUUCUCACCACUCCCCUUUAUCCCUUUUCUCUCUUUUCUCUUUGCCAUGUGGCCCUCUCCUCUUAAGUGGUCUUCCCAUUUGCCUUCAUCUCGCUAAUUAUUUGUCUCCUACAGAUGGCCAAAUUGAAGAGGAUAUUACAAUGGGGAGUUCAAGUACCAGAAGGCA